CACAGUGGGGAGCUCUGGGUGCAGGUGGGCAGACAAUGGGCCAACACACCCCCUCAGCCCCGCUCCAGUAUCAGCAUUCCAGGCCCACCCACCUGGGCCCUUGGUCACCGGGAGACCUCACGCGUACACACAGGCUCUAACCUGCCCUGAGCCCAGAUCCGGCGUUUCCCAAGCAGCUCUCUCAGCCUGCUGUGAACAAAGGCGAUUGUUCUCCCAGGAAUGGAGGGAGAUGUGUGUCCGAUGGCCAUUCACAGAGAAAGAAGUGUUGAACUGAAAGGGGAUGGGGGAGGCCACGUGGCAAGAGAGCAGUGGCCAAGCCAUUUCCGGCUAAUUAACACAUAGAUAUUGAUCAUAUUUCCUCUGCGAAGCUGCUGCAGAUAAGGUGGUCCGUCCCCCUUGGUCACCACAUCAUCAAUAAGCAGACAGCCCCUUUCUAGAAGAGUCCAUAAUCCAAACAUGCUUUGGGUAGGUGAUUGAUAGAAAGCUACCAUUUUAAAAAGAUUCCAAGUCUAAACAGAAUGUGUCUGGUUACUGGCAAAAUUAAAUUACCCUCUGCUGGAGG
rnacentral:lncRNA from 1 species